rnacentral:rRNA from 1 species
GCCUUUACUGACGCUAAAGCUCGAAGGUGCGGGUAUCGAACAGGAUUAGAUACCCUGGUAGUCCGCACGGUAAACGAUGGAUGCCCGCUGUUUGCGAUAUACUGUGAGCGGCCAAGAGAAAUCGUUAAGCAUCCCACCUGGGGAGUACGCCGGCAACGGUGAAACUCAAAGGAAUUGACGGGGGCCCGCACAAGCGGAGGAACAUGUGGUUUAAUUCGAUGAUACGCGAGGAACCUUACCCGGGCUUGAACUGCAGCGGAAGGAAACAGAGAUGUUGACGUCCUUCGGGACCGCUGUGGAGGUGCUGCAUGGUUGUCGUCAGCUCGUGCCGUGAGGUGUCGGCUUAAGUGCCAUAACGAGCGCAACCCCUUUCAUUAGUUGCCAUCACUUCGGGUGGGCACUCUGGUGAUACUGCCACCGUAAGGUGUGAGGAAGGUGGGGAUGACGUCAAAUCAGCACGGCCCUUACGUCCGGGGCUGCACACGUGUUACAAUGGGUGAUACAGAGGGCCGGUGCAUGGCAAUGCGCAUCAAAUCUUGAAAGUCAUCCUCAGUUCGGAUUGGGGUCUGCAACCCGACCCCAUGAAGCUGGAUUCGCUAGU